AACAAGUGAGCAAAACCCUUGGAAAUCUUUAUUUGCAUAGCAUUUAGCAUUUGUCCCGGACAAUUCAUCUGCCACCAUAAAGAAAAAACAAUCAAUUAAUGAUAACAUUAAGGCCAAGAACAAUAUUAAAACUUUUAUGAAGGAUAAUAGGUAAUCUUAGAUUUACCAGCUAUCACCCGCUUACUUGAGGCAGGAUCUCAAGUCGUAAGUUGAUGCUUCAAAACUCAACAAACAUUUAAUUUUUAAUUGAUAUGUUUUUAAUAUCAAUCCUAUUUUUUCUAAAUAUAUUCAGCUUAGUUUACUGUUACCUAAGUAAAGCACAGGAAAUAUGUGAUAGCAUUUCUUUUUUGGGCCAA
rnacentral:lncRNA from 1 species